CUGCAAUUAUCUCCCCAUGACAGGGAGGAUCAUUUUAAAUAUUUUGACAGAACAUGGGUAAUUCACACCUGUUAAGGCCCGUUCACACAAGGAUUUUAAACUUUGAUUUUCUCCUUUUGGCAUAUGUGUUUUAGCAAAAUUACAGGAAACAUUACUUUGCGUGGCUUGAUUAUUCACUCUAACACAUACACCAAAAGUAGACAAUUGCAGUUCAAAAUUGCUUCAAACUUAUUUUAAGCUUUCUCUGUCUACUAACCACAGCAAAUUUUGCUGACAAAUGAAAGACUUUAUCAUGUCAAUGGGUUAAAUCUUUUAUGAACAGUAAUAUUUCAUUUUAUAAAAGACAAGUUAUCAAAUGCAUUGGAUGUUCAAGCACAACAUUUGGUAUUGACAUUGAUUUUUUUAUUCUUUAAAAUUACUCCUUGCUCCUUACUUCAGUCCUGAAAAGUGUAUUGCUGUGCACCGAAGAUCAAUGAAUCCAAUAUGGACAGCCUGACUCACUAUUUGGGUCCGGGAGUUUGUAAUCAGAGUUCCUUCUCCUAGGUGGACUGCCUUUCAGGGAUUACAAGCUCCACCUAACCAGAGCACUUUGUUUUAAGUGCCAGACACUUG